UGUCUAUUAACCUAGGACUGAGUGAUGCAACAGAAGAAAUCUGGAAAACACCUCCAGGACUUGGGAGCCACGAAUUGAAAAUUGAAGAAUUUGGAGCUGAGGAGCCUGAGGCCCAAAGCAGACUGGAUAAAUGAGAAGACUUCCACCUAUGACAUUCUCCGAUGCAUGGUUCAGAGGGGAAGAAGUGUAAAUUAUCUGGUCCAUCCUCUGACCUGAAGACUACAACUUCGAU